rnacentral:rRNA from 1 species
UGGUGUAGCGGUGAAAUGCGCAGAUAUCAGGAGGAACACCGAUGGCGAAGGCAGGUCUCUGGGCAUUAACUGACGCUGAGGAGCGAAAGCAUGGGGAGCGAACAGGAUUAGAUACCCUGGUAGUCCAUGCCGUAAACGUUGGGCACUAGGUGUGGGGGACAUUCCACGUUUUCCGCGCCGUAGCUAACGCAUUAAGUGCCCCGCCUGGGGAGUACGGCCGCAAGGCUAAAACUCAAAGGAAUUGACGGGGGCCCGCACAAGCGGCGGAGCAUGCGGAUUAAUUCGAUGCAACGCGAAGAACCUUACCAAGGCUUGACAUGAACCGGAAAGAUCUGGAAACAGGUCCCCCACUUGUGGUCGGUUUACAGGUGGUGCAUGGUUGUCGUCAGCUCGUGUCGUGAGAUGUUGGGUUAAGUCCCGCAACGAGCGCAACCCUCGUUCUAUGUUGCCAGCACGUGAUGGUGGGGACUCAUAGGAGACUGCCGGGGUCAACUCGGAGGAAGGUGGGGACGACGUCAAAUCAUCAUGCCCCUUAUGUCUUGGGCUUCACGCAUGCUACAAUGGCCGGUACAAAGGGUUGCGAUACUGUGAGGUGGAGCUAAUCCCAAAAAGCCGGUCUCAGUUCGGAUUGGGGUCUGCAACUCGACCCCAUGAAGUCGGAGUCGCUAGUAAUCGCAGAUCAGCAACGCUGCGGUGAAUACGUUCCCGGGCCUUGUACACACCGCCCGUCAAGUCACGAAAGUUGGUAACACCCGAAGCCGGU